CCUACGUGAGGCUGCAGUGAGGAAUAUUGGUCAAUGGUCGGGAGACUGAACCAGCCAAGCCGCGUGAGGGAUGAAGGUACAGAGUAUCGUAAACCUCUUUUGUCAGGGAACAAAGGCGGGGAUGUGUCCCCGGAUGAGUGUACCUGAAGCAAAAGCAUCGGCUAACUCCGUGCCAGCAGCCGCGGUAAUACGGAGGAUGCGAGCGUGAUCCGGAUUUAUUGGGUUAAAAGGGUGCGCAGGAGGUCUUUUAAGUCAGCGGUCAAAGCCCGGGGCUCACCCCGGGCCCGCCGUUGAAACUGGCAGUCUCGAGUUGGAGAGAAGUAUGCGGAAUGCGCGGUGUAGCGGUGAAAGGCAUAGAUAUCGCGCAGAACUCCGAUUGCGAAGGCAGCAUGCCGGCUCCACACUGACGCUGAGGCACGAAAGCGUGGGUAUCGAACAGGAUUAGAUACCCGAGUAGUC
rnacentral:rRNA from 1 species